ACCGGCCACAUUGGGACUGAGACACGGCCCAAACUCCUACGGGAGGCAGCAGUGGGGAAUAUUGCACAAUGGGGGAAACCCUGAUGCAGCGACGCCGCGUGAGCGAAGAAGUAUUUCGGUAUGUAAAGCUCUAUCAGCAGGGAAGAAAAUGACGGUACCUGACUAAGAAGCACCGGCUAAAUACGUGCCAGCAGCCGCGGUAAUACGUAUGGUGCAAGCGUUAUCCGGAUUUACUGGGUGUAAAGGGAGCGUAGACGGAUGGGCAAGUCUGAUGUGAAAACCCGGGGUCAACCCCGGGACUGCAUUGGAAACUGUUCAUCUAGAGUGCUGGAGAGGUAAGUGGAAUUCCUAGUGUAGCGGUGAAAUGCGUAGAUAUUAGGAGGAACACCAGUGGCGAAGG
rnacentral:rRNA from 1 species